GUUUAUGGCCACGCCACCCUGAACAAGCCCGAUCCCGUCUGAUCUCGGAAGCUAAGCAGGGUCAGGCCUGGUUAGUACUUGGGUAAGAGACCACCUAGGAAUACCAGAUACUGUAGGCA
rnacentral:rRNA from 1 species